AAUAAGGGAACGAACAAUAUGCGGCGGUUCAAAAUCUUUCGUUCAAAUGACAUUAUUUUUAACGUGGAUGGAAGUUCUUAACGUGGAUGGCAUUUCAAAUGGCCUUGAAGAUGAUCUAUUCAACGUUGUCACAAUUUUAAAAAAAAAUUUG